GACGUAGGUGGCGAACGUUAUCCGGAAUUAUUGGGCGUAAAGGGUGCGUAGGCGGCCUGACAAGUUAGUAGUGGUAAAUCGAGGCUCAACCUCGUGGAAACUGGUAAUACUGUCCGGCUUGAGUACAGAAGAGGUUAAUGGAAUGGUUCGUGGAGGGUAAAAUCAUAGAUAUGAACUGGAACAUCAAUGAACGGCGAAGGCAGUUAACUAUUC
rnacentral:rRNA from 1 species